GCUGGGAUCCAAGCAGAGCAUUUUCUGGCAUGUUAAAAGCACAUACAUAAGCAAAUGCAAGGACAGACAUCACAGCAGAGAUUCAAAAUUAAGUUGCAUAGAAUCUGUACAUCAUUAAUCAUAUAGAUGGCAUAAUGCUCAUAAAAAGCUGCCAAACAAUCACAAGUGAACAAAUUUUAAUCUCAAGAUUAUAAAAAUAACAAAAUAUUAUAUUAGUCGAACCCAAGCAUCAGAAAAGAACGUGCCCUUCCCCCUCAUUAAGAGCGAAUGUUGUCAUCAAGCCAUUUCAGGUAAUAAUCAAUUUAUUUGGAAGACUCCACUAAAUAUACUCCAACUAGUUUGGGAUUAAGGCUUAGUUGUUGUUGUUGUUGUUGUUGUAUCAUAUAUUGCAACACACCAAGAGGAAGAAAUUGUCAUCCAAACAGGCAUGUUUUUCCACCUUCCACCAAUGCAAUGCGCAUUUCACACUCUGAAAUUAGCCAAAGGCCUAGUAUUGGUACGCUUUCUAUGGAAACUCAAAAGCAAGUUGAAAGGAACCAGACCCCUUGACCUAAAUGCUUGCACAUUAAUGCGUUUGAUGAAAUCUAUACCCCUCCUAGGACUAUGAUCUGUGAGGACCAAUGCUAGACAAUGGGCUUUCAAGGCUCACUUAAAGUAAACAGCACUUUGUGCUUCCUUUCAAUUUUCCACAGUUAAAGCAGUUAUGGAAGUCCUGACAAUGACUUUAUAAAGUACUAGUAAGCCAUCUGUGUGCGCCCUUCAAACUAAUAAGAAAAAAAUGACUUCCUCCCAAAUAUAAAGUCAUUUCUUUCAUCAAAUCAUAAGGAAUAUGAGAAACAAGUAAAAAGAAACUUUUGCUUACGAUAAUAAACUCCAGAUCACUGAGAGUAAGCACAGGAUUAAAAUAAAAACAGUUUGAUCAGACUCACCUGUCGUCUUUAUUCAAUAAAA
rnacentral:misc_RNA from 1 species